UUGAACCCGGUCCUUGUGGUUCACAGUCCGGAGACUUAUCCACUGAGCCACAACACCUCUACCUCAUUUUCAUUUCAGUGGCAAUACUCUGCUACGUUACAAAAAUCUUAGUCCUUGAUUCAUCAUUAUUUAAAAUCAAGCAUACAAAGCAUGUUUGAGAUCUAUUGUUAUGCUUUGUAAGUGCUCACUUCUACUCCAUGCUUACAUACCCUGUUAAUGAACAAAUUCGAUAUUUCAAUUUAAGUAAAAAGAAAUAAGAAUGAAAGCAACUAUAAUUUCUGAAAUCAAAUAAAACUUCCACAAAAAAUAAGGGAUGGGGGAGGACACAAAAAAUAUCAAUGCUCUAUUGCAUUUUCAGGUAAAAAAAAUAUGUAUUGCAGAAUCUGGGUUAACUUGUUGUAAAAUGUACAUUUCAAGCUCUAUUAUUGAAUAAAAUGGCAGUCAUAUAUCUUAUUGUCAUCUGCAUACAGGAUAAUGGUCACUCGUUACCAAUUUCAACUACCGUUAGAAUAUUUCCUUGGUUAAUUGUAUAGUAAUUGAUAGGUUAAUGUAAUUCCACACAUAACUACAUGAGAGUCCAUGUAGAAACACUAAACAGAUAUAAAGUUUGAAUAUUCGACCUUAUUUUAAUAUGACAGGUUAAUGUAAUUUCUUACCCUAAUAUGACAGGUUAAUGUAUUUCCUUACACAACUACAUGAGAAUCCAUG